GACGAACGCUGGCGGCGUGCUUAACACAUGCAAGUCGAACGGAAAGGCCUUUUCGGGGGUACUCGAGUGGCGAACGGGUGAGUAACACGUGGGUGAUCUGCCCUGCACUCUGGGAUAAGCCUGGGAAACUGGGUCUAAUACCGGAUAGGACCGCACUUUAGUGUGUGUGGUGGAAAGUUUUUUCGGUGUAGGAUGAGCCCGCGGCCUAUCAGCUUGUUGGUGGGGUAAUGGCCUACCAAGGCGGCGACGGGUAGCCGGACUGAGAGGUUGGUCGGCCACAUUGGGACUGAGAUACGGCCCAGACUCCUACGGGAGGCAGCAGUGGGGAAUAUUGCACAAUGGGCGGAAGCCUGAUGCAGCGACGCCGCGUGGGGGAUGACGGCCUUCGGGUUGUAAACUGCUUUCGCCAGGGACGAAGCGUUUUGUGACGGUACCUGGAGAAGAAGCACCGGCUAACUACGUG
rnacentral:rRNA from 1 species